UGUACUGACAUAGACAGAAUCCUGAUCCUAUACCGCGUGGAGUAUUCAAGCCAGUCUGUUCAAGUGGCGAACCAUCGUACAUCACUGUGGACCUUGAAACUACAGACCUUAUUCGAGGAGAGGUGUAUCCUCAUAUAACACAGAUAGCCGCAAACAUGUGAGCACAGAGAAGAGCUUCAGUUGCUAUGUGUUACCCAAACUACCGAUGAGUGCCUCUGCCGAACAAGUGACUAAAAUUGUUGUGACAAAUAGUAGUGAUAUGUUUGUAAAUGGUGUUCCUGUUGAAACUAAAACUAUUGAAUCAGCACUCAGAGAAUUGUUUAGCUGGCUGAAACAGUUCAGAAACGUGUUUCUAAUUGCACAUAAUGGAAAACGUUUUGACUUUCCUAUCAUUAUCAACGCCUGCUUAGCUACUGGAAUGUUUAGUGAACUUUGUGCAUGUGUAAUAGGAUUGGUAGACACUCUUCCAGUAUUUAAAUCCGUAUGUCCUAAAGGGAGUCUUACAAACAGGAGGAUCUGGCCCGUACAUUGCUUUCCAAAGUGUAUAACGCUCAUAACGCUCUUGAUGAUGUCAAGUGUUUGUCAGAGCUGGUCAGUUACGCUGUGAAACAUGAUGAAAAGUGUGUAGUAGUGAAGAGUUUUCCUCCUAGAGAUGUCAAACACAGCAUGGAAUCCAACAUAGGAAAAAGAAAAACAUGCCAUCUCUUUCUGUUCUGGUAGCAAAUGGUGUCAUGAAGUCGUCCACUGCCGACAAUGUGGCUAGCUCGGGGUUAAAUUUCAAACAUUUCAUACAAUCUUUCUACGUAAGGGAGAAGAUGGACUGUACAAUGUAUUUACUAUGAGAAACAGUGAAGGGUUGCCAAGAGUGACAAAUUCUAAGAGGGUUUUGGAGGCUGUAAUUCCAAAAUUAGUGUCGUAUUUUGAAGGCAAAAAUUAGGUUUGUUCGUCAAUUCAAGGUCAAACUGUACUAUGUCUUGAUUAAUUUUAUAAAUAAUUUGACACUAGUUCAAGUUAUUUAUCUUUCAAAGAAGUAUUGAAUCUUUCAGAAGAGUACUGUAUUUAUGAAUAAUGUAUGGCAAGCAAACUAGAUACUUAUUUUUGUGAAAAUAAUCGUGAAAGACAUUUCGAGCAUUUUUUUCAUGAAAAAAUUGUUAUCGUAAUUUUAGGGGAUACCUUUUUGCUUGGACUUAUUUAAAAAAAAUAGAUGGUAAAAGUUUUUGAUUUUCAUACAUCUUAUUGCCUACACUUUGAGGAAAAUUUUAAUACCAAAAUUACAUUAUUACAUACCUUUGAAUGUAUAAAUUUUGAACUUUGAAACAAAUAGUUGAAAAAAAUUUCAUCCCACAAGUCGUCAGUUUUAGCCCAUAUCGCUAUAUAUUUUUGCUUAUAUUUUAUGAAAGCCUUGUUUACUAUACAUGGAUUGUUGUUUUUUGGUACAAUAUAUAUAUAGAGGAAUAGAAUACCUGCUAGAAA